rnacentral:rRNA from 1 species
UUGUAAAAUUAAUAUUUUUAACAGAAUCUUGCUAGCGCAUGAUUAAAAAGUACAAUAAUUUGCGAUAUUUUUUAUGCUUAAUUAAAAAAAACACUAUGAAAAAUAUAAUUACAAAUAACCCAUCUUCAAUAAUACCUGUAAAGAGCUAUAGUAAUGCAUUUAUAAAUAAGAAUGCAAUAUUGCUAGAGAAUAAAAAUAAAUCAGGAAUUUAUCUGACCCCGGAGGGGUACGAAUAAAUAAACUAAAUGGAAAUAGCUAUGUAGGUAGUGGGUUAAAUUUAGCAAAAAGAGUAGGUGAUUAUUAUAAGGAAAGUGAAUUAAAAAGAAAUCCUAGACCUAUUCAUGCUGCUUUAUUAAAACAUGGACAUACAAAUUUUACAUUAGAAAUAUUGGAGUAUUGUAAAGCAGAUGAGCUUAUUAAAAGAGAACAGCAUUAUUUGGAUCGCUUGCGCAGCCAAACCUGAAUAUAAUAUAUUAAAAAAUGCUUAUUCUUUAUUAGGUUUUAAACAUAGCGAUGAAAAUAUAGCUAGAUUUAAAUUAAAAUCAAUAUCUGAAGAGCAUAAAAAAAUAUUAUCCUCAGUGCAUUUAGGUAAAGAAGUUAGCCAAGAGGUUAGAGAUAAAUUAUCUUUAGCUACAACUAAUUAUAGAAAGAAUAAUCCUUUAUCAUCUGAAGCUUUAGCGAAUAUUACAGCUAAGACUACAGAACGUGAAGGAAAAUCUGUUAGACUUUUCAAUAUCCAAACUAAUGAAACAUUAGAUUUCCCUACUUUAACAAAAGCUGCGGAACAUUUAGGUAUAAAAAGACAAGCUGUAAGAAAUGCAAUUAAUAGAGGAAGUAUUGUUAAAUUACUUUAUCAUAUUUCAGAAUCAGAAUAGUAUUAUAUUUAGUUAUAUAAAUUAUUUUAAAUUUAAUUAUUAAAUUCGGGUUUAUAAAUAAACCUGUUGUCAAAAUGGAUAGUUCAUAAAUAUUGUAUGAACUAUUUAGGGAGAAUAUUUUGUUUAUUUAAUAUAAGCAAAAUUCCCGUGUAUGUCGAAAGGGAAACAGCCCAGAACAAGAGUUAAGGUUCCUAAAUUAUUAGUUGAGUGAAAUUAAGAAGGUUUUUAUUAAAGUCGACAAGGAGAUAGGCUUAGAAGCAGCCAUAAUUUUAUGACCUCGUAACAGAGCGCUUGUUAAGUUAUAAAAGCAUCGAAAAUUUAACGGAUCUAAACAAUAUACCGAAACCUUGUCCAUGAUAUAUUAUAAUGAUAAUAUUAUUAUAAUUUAAUGGGGUAGCAGAACGUUGAGCUAAAUUACGAGUUUUAUUUUUUUAAAUAGAAUGAUAAUGAUUUAACUCAAGUGAGAAUGGUGACAUGAGUAACUAAAAGAAAAUUUUCCGCCUUAAGCUUAUGGAUAUAUUUAAGUAACGGCCUCUAAGUUUAUAUUAUCUAAAGAUUUAAACGAUGAGAAAAUCUUUUUUACUAAGGACGACAUUUUAGUGUAAAAUGUACUGGAAAAAUAGUAAAUAUAUUUAUAGUAAGCGUAAGUUUAUUAUAAAUGAAGAAUAACCGUACCUAGAAUCUGAAACAAGUAAGCUAGUAGAGAAUACGAAGGCGUAAAUGGGCUAACAAUCAUAAAGGAACUCGGCAAAUUGACUACCGUAACUUCGGAAUAAGGAGGGCUCAUUAUUCUUGAUUAAUAUCAAGUAAAGAGGAAGAAGCAUGAAAUAAUGUUGUACGACUGUUUAAUUAAAACACAGCACUCUGCUGAAAGAUGAAAAAUCUAAGUAUAGAGUGUGAUAUCUGCCCGGUGCCGGCUGGUUAACAGAGAUAAUUUAAUAUACUACUAUUUGAUGUCGACGGAAACCCCGGUUAAAGGCGGCCUUAACGUGAGGGUCCUAAGGUAGCGAAAUGCCUUGGCCGUUAAAUGCGGUCUUGCAUGAAUGGUGUAACGAUACAACAGCUGUCUCUAUGAUUGACCCAGUGAAAUUGGAAUAGCAGUGCAGAUACUGCUUACCUCUAGUUAGACGAGAAGACCCUAUGCAGCUUUACUGUCACUAAUUAUAGAUUAUGAUAGACAAUUUUCAGAUUAUAAGGUAAUUGAUUUAUGACAAUGAGAAACCUUUAUUUUUCUUUCAUAUGAAUGAAUUGGUUUAGGAGUAUAAGUAGAUUAUAGUUUAUGUGACUUUACUGAGUCAACUUGUUAAAUUAUAGUCUGUAUGCUUAUACUAGUAGAUCAGCCUAAUUCAACUUACUAUAUUUAUUAUAGUAUGUACCCUUUGGUAAGGAACUAUCGCUAGGGGACAGUUUAUGUGGGGCACAGACCCUGUAAAGAGUAAACAGGAGUGUCUAAAAAUUUAUAAAUAUUUUGUUUGCAAUUUUGAAUAAGAAUUUAUUCUUAUUUUUAAUCAUAUACAAUUGAUUAUAUUUGCAUUUAUUGUAAAUAUAGUUAAGAUUAGGUAGGAUUUUCACUAUAUAGAAAUUAGAGAUAAUAAAAAUAUUAUGGAGAAGUUCUUCUAAUAUUUUUUAGCUAUUUAUUAAAUAGUUAUGUUUACAAUAUCUAAAAAGCUCAACGGCUUAAUCCU